UCAAUGCUUCAGUAUUACACCUGCGCGCGUGCGCGUGUGUGUGUUUAAAGUGAGUAUUCCAUUAAUUAACUAACUCUGCUCCUGGGACAUGUUUAUAAAGUUUUCUUUGAGGGUUAUUAGGAGUUCUCUUUGGCCUGUUUUCUAACUUUAAAUUGUUGUUUUUCUAUCACAGUUUUCAACACAAAAUGCCUUUUUAUUACUGGCUCGAAAUAGUUCUGAGGAGAUUCAUAACUGGUUGAAAGAGUCUGUUAACAACUCCAGCCUUUUCCUUGUGGCUCAGGGAUGUGAGGGAGUCAGGCAGUGUCCCUGUAGGUGUUCUGUGCAGGCAAAGUUACUUUGUGCACUCCUGUCACCAUGUGGAGCACAUUUAUAUAAUCAUAAUGGAGAUUUCAGAACAUUAAGAAUAACUUACUGUAGGAAAAGCUAAUUGUUGCUGGGGAUGUUUUUUUCUUGCUUUGGGGUACAGGGGACAUAAUCAUAGGGCUGUGUGUGCCAGGCUGUGUGUGUGCCAGGCACUCCCUCAGGGCUGUGUGUGUGCUCGUUCUGUCCACCAGGUUUGCCUCUUGUCAUCAAAUGGAUAAAGUCAAAACUUUGUUUCACUGAGAAAUCUCUCAUCAUUUACUUGCGAUAAAAUUUGAGCAUCCCUUUUGAAGAGUACCAAAAAUAUGUCUCAUAGAUGUAUGUGGCUUAUUUCUGUCCUUCUUCCCUCCCUCUACUCCUUUCUCUCUUUCUGUGCAGCCCCAGCCAGAGGUUUUAUGUUUGAUAACUCCUGUAUCCUGCGUCAAGCCUCUGAUUGGUUAUUCUUGAUUCACUUCCUCUCUCAUCAAGACAGAUAAGCACUAUUUUCCUUGUAGUUUCUUCAGUAGUUCACACAUAGUGGUUGGUACCUGGGAUAUGUGAAUAAGACAAAAAUUCAGUAUGUUAAUAUAAGCCCAAGCAAGGAAAGAAAUUUCCUCCCCCCAAAAGUACCAUAGAAGUAUCAAAAAGACCUAUUUUGUUUGUGUAGGUUUUUUGGAAUGUAAUUGAGUAUGAUUUGAUUUUUUGUGGGGAGGGGGUCAGAAGUGAGGCCAUAAGGAAGCCUCAUUUAGCAAAGUGCAAAGUAAUCCUGUCUGAGUGGCCUGUUAUAGUGGCUACAGUUGUUUUCAUCAGGAGUUGUACUUGGACACUGGUUCUCAUCCACCUUUUCAUGCUUUAGACUAAUCUAGGGUGUAUGAAAAGAAAAUGAGACUCUGUCUUGUAGCUAGGGAUUGCUGAAGUGCUUUUCUGCUGUGGCCCUGGGAUCACCAUUUAUAAACAUCAAUAGGUGGUGGGUGGGUGGGGGUGGGGAUGAAUGGUCAAGAAUGAACUGAUCCACAGAAUGGGAGUACCUAGACAGGAAGUGCACUUCUGCUGCCAGAUCUGCUCCCCCAGACUUUACUGUGUUUAGAACCAUCAGGGUAUCCUGAUUCAGACGCUUGUCCAAGCUUUUUAAAGCUGUCAUAGUGCCUUCUCUUAAUGUCUGCCUUCACACACUAACAGGUAAUUGGGAUUUUUAAAAAUGUUGAUAGUGUCCUGUCCCACACCCUGAAAAAGCCCAACUGGGUACUGUGACUUGAAUCCCUACAUCUUUUGUUGUUUUGUUUGAGAAAGAGUCUCAGUGUGUGAACCUGUCUGUUCUAGAACUCACUAUAUAGACCAGGCUGGCCUUAAGCUCACAGAGAUCAACUUGUCUCUGCAAAUCCUGAAAUCUUUUACACACACAAAACCCUAACAUGUUAAUACCUAAUGAACAAAAAGGAUGGGAUCGUAACUAUGAAGUCGUCACCUAUGUACCCCACAGCAGGGACCAGAAAGCCUUAUGGGAAAGAAUUUCAUGAGCUAGAGCUGAAGUGCAGUGUUCUGACAAAGGGGCAGUCACAUUGAUGCCUAAACCUUAUAGUUCAAAAGUGAUGAAAAUUGUUAUGAAUGUAAGCCUUACAAGAGUUAAAUGUUGAAUAUACACAGUUGUUCUCAAUUUUAUCUUAAAAAUGACUUGUUAUACUUUCUGAUAGGUCGUUUGCCUUUGAAUGGCUUUAAAACUAUAAUUUUUUAAAAGCACAAUGGGAAUCGAUGAUGUUUCACUUUUGGGUUGUACAUUUAAUGGAUUAAAGAUCACACCACCACACCACUUGUGUUUGUUGUUACUGUUCUUGUGGAAGGACCUAUAGAACAGAGUGCGGCUUGGUCAGGGAAGUUAGUGACCUGGUCAGAGAUGGGACAAUGGCAAGGCAGCUCACUUUUCCCUCCACAGUGACAUUGAACCUGGUUAGCAGUGAGCUAGUAAGGCUGUUGUGUCUUCCAACUGUAGUCUCACACAGUGGGGAGGAUAGGGAGAGUGUGCUGAAAUAUUUCCUCUCCACAGGUGACCGGGGAGGCAAUGGGGAAGUGGCACUGAGUUUCUCCAAUCCUGAGAAAGCUUUGUGGUGGUUGUUUUGUUUUUUAAAAGUCUCACUAUGCAGCCUUGCCACUCACUAUUGGCUGGCCUCAGGAUAGAGUUCAGGCUGGCUUUAAACUCACAGCAAUCACCAGCCUCUGCCUAGAGCAGCACUGGGAUUGGAGGAGUUUGCCACUACACCAUGUGCCCCCCCCCCCCCUGCUUUUCUCUUCUCUUUCCUUGUCAGAACAUGGUUAUGGUACAUGGUGAACAAUGCCUUGGGGAACUGUGAAAGAGUCUCCAGUAAAAAAUGCAGAGAGCCAUUUACUACAAGUGCAUUUGUUCCCUUGAUUGUUUACAAACAUGAUUUUGUGCCUCUGACAAAAAUUGCAAUCGACUUAUAAGACAUGUUACUUUUUGGAUGUAGGAAGAUAGCUGUAGAACCCAGUUUGGUGAAAGGACAUGAUGAGUGCUGUCCUCAGUGUGCUCUGAAUCUGGAUAUGGCUGCUUUCUGCUUUUCCAGAUAUAAUAAUCAACAGAGCUCGCUAGGCAAUUGUGUUACAAUUGUUCUGUCUUGAGAGACGGUUUUUAAGUUGGUCUGUUCUGGGAAAGGGAUGCUCUGUUGAUAUUUAUUAUGUGUUUAUUGGCAUUUAUUUACAUUUUUUUGGACUCGACUUUCUUUGGCUCAUUGCUUUCUUUGUUGCAUUUGUAUAUAUAAUGCACUGAAACUGAAGUAAAAUUUUCGACAUUAAA
rnacentral:lncRNA from 1 species